UACGUAGGGCGCGAGCGUUGUCCGGAUUUAUUGGGCGUAAAGAGCUCGUAGGCGGCUUGUCGCGUCGAAUGUGAAAACCCACAGCUCAACUGUGGGCUUGCAUUCGAUACGGGUCUGCUAGGGUCCGGCAGGGGAGACUGGGAAUUCCUGGUGAUAGCGGUGAAAUGCGCAGACGUAUCAGGAGGAACACCGGUGGCGAAGGCGGGUCUCUGGGCCGGUAGCCGACGCUGGAGGAGCGAAAGCGUGGGGAGCGAACAGG
rnacentral:rRNA from 1 species